CCAAGCAAAAAAGAGCGCAGGGUGGAUGCCUUGGCACUAAGAGCCGAUGAAAGACGUGAUAAGCUGCGAAAAGCUUCGGGGAGGAGCAAAUAUCCAAUGAGCCGGAGAUAUCUGAAUGGGGAAACCCACAUGAGAAGACCUCAUGUAUCCAUACGCCAAUCCAUAACGUAUGGAGGGGAACCGGGGGAACUGAAACAUCUAAGUACCCCGAGGAGAAGAAAGAAAACUCGAUUUCCUAAGUAGCGGCGAGCGAACGGGAAAGAGCCCAAACCAGUGUGCGUGCAUGCUGGGGUUCGGACUGCGGAAUUGAUUCCUUGAUUCUACCAGAAUGGUUUUGGGAAAGCCAGCCAGAGAGGGUGAAAGCCCCGUAUGGGAAAGGAAAGAGGACAAGGCAGGAUCCAGAGUACCACGAGACACGAGAAACCUUGUGGGAAGGAGCGGGGACCACCCCGUAAGGCUAAAUACUCCUUAGUGACCGAUAGAGCAUAGUACUGUGAAGGAAAGGUGAAAAGGACCCCGGGAGGGGAGUGAAAGAGAACCUGAAACCCUGUGUUUACAAGCUGUGGAACCGCUUUAUAUGCGGAACCGCGUACUUUUUGUAGAACGGUCCGGCGAGUUGUGCAUGCUGGCAAGGUUAAGCGCUAAAGGCGUGGAGCCGUAGGGAAACCAAGUCUGAAUAGGGCCAGAGUCAGUAUGUGCAGACCCGAAACCGGGUGAUCUAUCCAUGUCCAGGUUGAAGCUGCCGUAAGAGGCAGUGGAGGACCGAACCCACAUCCGUUGAAAAGGGUGGGGAUGAGGUGUGGAUAGGGGAGAAAUUCCAAUCGAACCCGGAGAUAGCUGGUUCUCCUCGAAAUAGCUUUAGGGCUAGCCUCGAUAGAGAUACAUGGAGGUAGAGCACUGAAUUUCCUAGGGGGCGUCAAAGCCUACCGAAGAAUAUCAAACUCCGAAUGCCAUGGAAUUGAUUAUCGGGAGUCAGACUAUACGAGAUAAGUUGGAUAGUCAAAAGGGAAAGAGCCCAGACCUCCAGCUAAGGUCCCAAAGUACGUGUUAAGUGGAAAAGGAUGUGGGAUUUCGAAGACAACCAGGAUGUUGGCUCAGAAGCAGCCAUACAUUCAAAGAGUGCGUAAUAGCUCACUGGUCGAGAGGUCCUGCGCCGAAAAUGUCCGGGGCUAAAACACGACACCGAAGCUGAGGAAUGUAUUUAAUACAUUGGUAGAGGAGCAUUGAAUACGGGAAGAAGCAGUACCGAAAGGAGCUGUGGACUGUAUUGAAGAGAGAAUGCCGGAAUGAGUAGCGAGAAUAAGGUGAGAAUCCUUAUGGCCGAAUAUCUAAGGUUUCCAGGGUAAAGCUGAUCUGCCCUGGGUAAGUCGGGACCUAAGGCGAGGUCGAAAGACGUAGCCGAUGGACAACAGGUUGAGAUUCCUGUACUGCGUUAGAACAGAACUGUGGGGACACGUGUGGAAAGCACAACCCGGGAAUGGAAUCCCGGGGCAAGCGAAGGAGGAGUCACAUAGGAAAAACCGUGUGGCAAUCCAAAGGCGUGAUGCGGACCGAACUAGAGUAGGGAAGUGUGUGAGCCAUGCGUCAAGAAAAGCCGCUAUUGUUUGUAACGUACCCGUACCGUAAACCGACACAGGUGGAUGAGGAGAGAAUCCUAAGGCCGACGGAAGAAGCAUUGCCAAGGAACUCGGCAAAAUGACCCCGUAACUUCGGGAGAAGGGGUGCCCGUGUAAAAGCGGGCCGCAGAGAAUAGGCUCAAGCAACUGUUUAGCAAAAACACAGGUCUAUGCGAAACCGAAAGGUGAGGUAUAUGGGCUGACGCCUGCCCGGUGCUGGAAGGUUAAGAGGAGAUGUCAGGAAACGAAGCAUUGAAUUUAAGCCCCAGUAAACGGCGGCCGUAACUAUAACGGUCCUAAGGUAGCGAAAUUCCUUGUCGGG
rnacentral:rRNA from 1 species